rnacentral:misc_RNA from 1 species
GAUGAAGAACGUAGCGAAAUGCGAUAAGUAAUGUGAAUUGCAGAAUUCAGUGAAUCAUCGAAUCUUUGAACGCACAUUGCGCCCGCCAGUAUUCUGGCGGGCAUGCCUGUUCGAGCGUCAUUACAACCCUCAGGCCCCCGGGCCUGGCGUUGGGGAUCGGCGGAGCCCCCCGUGGGCACACGCCGUCCCCCAAAUGCAGUGGCGGUCCCGCCGCAGCUUCCAUCGCGUAGUAGCUAACACCUCGCGACUGGAGAGCGGCGUGGCCACGCCGUAAAACACCCAACUCUUCUGAAGUUGACCUCGAAUCAGGUAGGAAUACCCGCUGAACUUAAGCAUAUCAAUAAGCGGAGGA